rnacentral:tRNA from 1 species
GCCAAUGUGAUCAAGUGGUUUGAGUGUUGGACUAUGACUCUGGAGACCAGGGUUCGAUUCCCUGCUCAGCCA